rnacentral:rRNA from 1 species
GGUUUUUAUUUCUGCCAGUAGUCAUAUGCUUGUCUCCCACGAUUAAGCCAUGCUGUCUAAGUAUAAGCACUUUAUUGACUGUGAAACCUGCGAAUGGCAUCUUAAAUCAGUAUCUGUUAUUGAUUAGUACCUUACUACAUGAUACCUGUGGUAAUUCUAGAGCUAUACCUGCCUAAAAACCUCGACUUCGGAAGGGGUGUAUUUAUUUAGAUAAAAACCAAUGCCCUUCGGGGCUCCUUGGUGAUUCAUAAUAACUCUUAACAAUCGCAUGGCCUUGCGCCGGCGAUGGUUCAUGUCAAAUUUCUGGCCCUAUCAAUUUCGAUGGUAGGAUAGGGCUACCAUGGUGGCAACGGGUAAACGGGGAAUUAGGGUUCGCUCGGAGAGGGAGCCUAGAAACGGCUACCACAUCCAGUAAGGCAGCAGUGCGCGCAAAUUACCCAAUCCCGACACGGGGAGGUAGUGACAAUAAAUACUGAUACGGGGCUCUUUGGGUCUCGUAAUUGGAAUGAGUACAAUCUAAAUCCCUUAACGAGGAACAAUUGGAGGGCAAGUCUGGUGCCAGCAGCCGCGGUAAUUCCAGCUCCAAUAGCGUAUAUUAAAGUUGUUGCAGUUAAAAAGCUCGUAGUUGAACCUUGGGUCUGGCUGGCCGGUCCGCCUCACCGCGAGUACUGGUCCGGCUGGACCUUUCCUUCUGGGGAACCUCAUGGCCUUCACUGGCUGUGGGGGGAACCAGGACUUUUACUGUGAAAAAUUAGAGUGUUCAAAGCAGGCCUUUGCUCGAAUACUUAGCAUGGAUAAUAGAAUAGGACGUGCGGUUCUAUUUUGUUGGUUUCUAGGACCGCGUCCGUAAUGAUUAAUAGGGAUAGUCGGGGGCGUCAGUAUUCAGCUGUCAGAGGUGAAAUUUUGGAUUUGCUGAAGACAACUACUGCGAAAGCAUUCGCCAAGGAUGUUUUCAAUCAGGGAACGAAAGUUAGGGGAUCGAAGACGAUCAGAUACCGUCGUAGUCUUAACCAUAAACUAUGCCGACUAGGGAUCGGGCGGUGUUUCUAUGAUGACCCGCUCGGCACCUUACGAGAAAUCAAAGUUUUUGGGUUCUGGGGGGAGUAUGGUCGCAAGGCUGAAACUUAAAGAAAUUGACGGAAGGGCACCACAAGGCGUGGAGCCUGCGGCUUAAUUUGACUCAACACGGGGAAACUCACCAGGUCCAGACAAAAUAAGGAUUGACAGAUUGAGAGCUCUUUCUGAUCUUUUGGAUGGUGGUGCAUGGCCGUUCUUAGUUGGUGGAGUGAUU